UACAGAGGGUGCAAGCGUUAAUCGGAAUUACGUGGCGUAAGGGCGCGUAGGCGGUUAUUUAAGUUAGAUGUGAAAUCUCUGGGCUUAACCUGGGAAUUGCAUAUAAGACUGAAUGACUAGAGUAGGAUAGAGGGAAGUGGAAUUCCCGGUGUAGCGGUGAAAGUGCGUAGAUAUCGGGAGGAAUACCCUAUGGCGAAAGCAGGCUACUGGACCGUCACUGACUCUGAUCUGCGAAAGCUAGGGGAGCAAACAGG
rnacentral:rRNA from 1 species